CACGAAGUUAGCCGGGGCUUAUUCCUCCGGUACCGUCAUUAUCGUCCCGGAUAAAAGAGCUUUACAACCCUAAGGCCUUCAUCACUCACGCGGCAUGGCUGGAUCAGGCUUGCGCCCAUUGUCCAAUAUUCCCCACUGCUGCCCCCCGUAGGAGUCUGGGCCGUGUCUCAGUCCCAGUGUGGCUGAUCAUCCUCUCAGACCAGCUACUGAUCGUCGCCUUGGUAGGCCCGUUACCCCACCAACUAGCUAAUCAGACGCGGGCCGAUCUUCCGGCAGUAAACCUUUCCCCAAAAGGGCGUAUCCGGUAUUAGCCCUAGUUUCCCAGGGUUAUUCCGAACCGGAAGGCACGUUCCCACGCGUUACUCACCCGUCCGCCGCUGACCCCGAAAGGUCCCGCUCGACUUGCAUGUGUUAAGCCUGCCGCCAGCGUUCGCUCUGAGCCAGGAUCAAACUCU
rnacentral:rRNA from 1 species